AUACGCUGUGUGAAAACUCUAAUGAUGAACGUGCUCCUCGAGUCUUCGAAUGACGUCAUCAUGCGUAUAAUACAAGAAGAGCUCCGUGAGCACGAAAAACUUCAAUUUGAACGGAAAAAAUUGGCAACUGCGCCGAAAAUCAUCGGCAACAGCUCAGCGUUGGCGGCUCUCGCGGCUUUUGGUAUGGAGAAGCUCGCGAAAAUUCGAAAUUCGGAAAAAACAAUUUUUUUGACCAGAAAAUUCGGUUUUAAAAGUUUUUUCCAAGUUUUUAAUUUAAAAAAAACCGAAAACUUUAACAUUUUUGAAAUUUUCUUCCAAAAAGCUAUGAAAAUCGUAUAAUUUUUCAUAAAAAAUUCAUAAAUUGUUCCAAUUUUUCGACGAAAUUUUUUUAAACAAAAAAAAUUCGAUUUUAUCGAGUUUUUUGAGCUAAAAUUUCAAAAAGUUUUUUAAAAAUUGAUUUAAAAAAUUCGAAAAACGAAAAUUUUCAACAUUGUCUUCAAAAGUUUCACAUUUUUUAAAAACUUUUUUCUAAAAUUUUCGAAUUUUCCAUAUUUUUUUUAAAUUUAAAACAGUUACAAUUUUGAAACAAAUCGAAUUUUCUGGUUGAAAAAUUUGAGAUUUUCCGAAAAAAAAAGUAAAAUUUUUGAUUUUUAAAUCGAAUUUUUCAAAAAAAAAUAGCGAAAAUUUAGAUUUCCAGAAAAUUUUAAUUUUAUAUAAAAAUUGUGUUCAAAAAGUUCCUGAAAAGCUCUUCUUUUUCCUAAAAAUUCAAAUUUUUCAGAAAAAGUUUUCAAAAAAACAUUUUUUUUUUUUGGAAAAAAUCGGUUUUCAGAAGCUUUUUUAAUUAAAUAUUCGUUAUAAAAAACGAUUUUCGAACAAUGUACCAAAAAAGAAUUUUUAGUUUAAAAAUUUCAAUUUUUUCGAUUAAAAAUUCCAUAAAAUGUGAAUUUUCAAUUUCUCGAAAAUUGUAAAACUAAAAUUCAAAUAAAAAAAGCCUUUUUUUGCAAAAAAAAAGUUGAGUUUUCAGUUAAAAAAAAAAACGUUUUUUAGAGCUAAAAUGUCAUAUUUUUUGAAAUUUUAUUUCAAAAAAUUCAAAUUUUUCAAAUUUUCCAGGAGACGGUGAGGAUAGUGACAACAGCAGUGACGAUGGAGUUGGCGACGACAUGGAGCCACGGCAGGAGAGCAGUGGCUCGGCGGAGCUAAAUGGAGCAUCAGGGGCAGCAGAAGCAGGAACACCAGAAGCUGGUGGUGGAGAGUUCAAGGCUCCCGUGGGUAUCCCUCGAAAGUUUAGUGUUAAGACAGAUGAUGUCAAACCAUCAGUUAAUGAUGAUGGUGAAGGUGUUGAUGAUUUACACGUUCCAGG
rnacentral:sRNA from 1 species